AACGGAGCAAUCCGGUCCGCCGA
rnacentral:snRNA from 1 species